rnacentral:rRNA from 1 species
AUAGCAAUAUAUCUGGGAGGAGAGUGGCGUAAGGGUGAGGAACGCGUGGGUAACCUACCCUCAAGAUGGGGAUAUCCUGCCGAAAGGCGGGGUAAUACCGAAUGUGGUCACCUCUCGCAUGGGGGGAUGACUGAAGGCGGGGAUCUUUCGGGACCUGCCACUUGAGGAGGGGCCCGCGUCCUAUCAGCUUGUUGGUGGGGUGACGGCGCACCAAGGCUAUGACGGGUAGCUGGUCUGAGAGGAUGGUCAGCCACACUGGGACUGAGACACUGCCCAGACUCCUACGGGAGGCUGCAGUCGAGGAUCAUUUGCAAUGGGCGAAAGCCUGACAAUGCGACGCUGUGUGGAGGAUGAAGGCCUUCGGGUUGUAAACUCCUGUCAUUCGGGAACAAUAGCGGGAGGGUGAAUAUCCCUUCCGUAUGAUGGUACCGGAAGAGGAAGCCACGGCUAACUCUGUGCCAGCAGCCGCGGUAAUACAGAGGUGGCGAGCGUUGUUCGGAUUUACUGGGCGUAAAGGGUGCGUAGGUGGUGGGGCUGGAGUGCAGGAGAGGAGAGCGGAAUUCUUGGUGUAGCGGUGAAAUGCGUUGAUAUCAAGAAGAACACCGGUGGCGAAGGCGGCUCUCUGGAAUGCAACUGACACUGAGGCACGAAAGCUGGGGGAGCAAACAGGAUUAGAUACCCUGGUAGUCCCAGCCCUAAACAGUGUGCACUUGGUGUGGGGGGAAUUAACCCCCUCCGUGCCGGAGCUAACGCGUUAAGUGCACCGCCUGGGGAGUACGGCCGCAAGGCUAAAACUCAAAGAAAUUGACGGGGGCCCGCACAAGCGGAGGAGCAUGUGGCUUAAUUCGAUGCAACGCGAAGAACCUUACCAGGGCUUGACAUGCAGCUGCACGCCCCGCGAAAGCGGGGAAGCCUUCGAGGGUGCUGCACAGGUGCUGCAUGGCUGUCGUCAGUUCGUGCCGUGAGGUGUUUGGUUAAGUCCAGCAACGAACGCAACCCUUGUGCCUAGUUGCUACCGCCGGUGAUGAGCCGGCGAGCACUCUAGGCAGACUGCCCGUGCAAGCGGGAGGAAGGUGGGGAUGACGUCAAGUCAGUAUGGCCUUUAUGUCCUGGGCUGCACACGUGCUACAAUCGGGGUACAGAGGGAUGCAAGACCGCGAGGUGGAGCAAAUCCUCAAAACCCUCGCCAGUUCAGAUUGAAGGCUGCAACUCGCCUUCAUGAAGUUGGAUUCGCUAGUAAUGGCGCAUCAGCUACGGCGCCGUGAAUACGUUCCCGGGCCUUGUACACACCGCCCGUCACAUCAUGAAAGCCGUCUGCACCCGAAGUCGCCGCGCCAACCUGCAAAGGAAGCAGGCGCCGAAGGUGUGGGUGGUGAUU